rnacentral:rRNA from 1 species
UGGGGAAUAUUGGACAAUGGGCGAAAGCCUGAUCCAGCCAUGCCGCGUGUGUGAAGAAGGUCUUCGGAUUGUAAAGCACUUUAAGUUGGGAGGAAGGGCAGUAAGCGAAUACCUUGCUGUUUUGACGUUACCGACAGAAUAAGCACCGGCUAACUCUGUGCCAGCAGCCGCGGUAAUACAGAGGGUGCAAGCGUUAAUCGGAAUUACUGGGCGUAAAGCGCGCGUAGGUGGUUCGUUAAGUUGAAUGUGAAAGCCCCGGGCUCAACCUGGGAACUGCAGCCAAAACUGGCGAGCUAGAGUAGGGCAGAGGGUGGUGAAAUAUCCUGUGUAGCGGUGAAAUGCGUAGAGAUCUGGAGGAAUACCGAUGGCGAAGGCAGCCAUCUGGCCUAACACUGACGCUGAGGUACGAAAGCAUGGGGAGCAAACAGG